GGUUAUUGCUGGAUGCGUGGCUUGAAGCAUCAUUCUUACACAAACACUUUGAUUAAUCUCUCAAGUGCGAGUGUGUGUGUAUCUCAUUAAGUGGAAUUUGUAUCGUCAGUGCAGGCGCUUUCGAAUCUGUGGUGGUGUUUGGUGGCAUAUUUCCCGAAGGGCAGUUUGGGAUGAAGGCAACAGUGGGCAUGAGCGGGUCAACAGUGGUCAAAGUUGGCUACAGGGUCUUUUACGACGAUCGAGACCAUCAAAAAGAUUUUGAACAGAGAAGAAUUAGGUUGCUUGCUUUGUACUCGGCUAUUCUUGUCCACUGUUGCGGAUGGCAUUAUCAAAUAUCAAGUCAUCGAAGUCGAUUGCACAAGGAAAGGACCUGCAAAACCUAAAAAGUUAAAGGUCCAACACGCUGGAGCUUGAGGUUCCUAUGCCUACCACGGCUAAGCUGCUUUUAAAGCUGGAGAGUAUGGUCUUGGAAAUUAGUGAAAGACAAAACAUAAAAUACACAAGGGAUUAAGAAGAUGGAGACGACAUCAAAAAUUAAUGAAAGGGAGAUUUCCUAGAUUCUUUGAGAUGUCACAACUAUAUCUACCAAACCCGCUUCGUUUGGAGCUAAUUCUUAAUGUCUUCCGAAACGCCUUUCAAGAACACUUACCCUCUCAUGCCCCAUGAGAUGUGCAGGAUACGAAAGUCUUGAUGUGGAGUGGAAGGGUUAUAACUUUCAUGAUAGCAACAAAUUUGUUGUACUUUGUAUUUAGUUAAAAGGAUUAGCAUCAAAUACAAAGGAUCCUAAUUGCAAGAAUUGUAAGAAUGAUUUAUAGAGUGAUAAGUAUCUAAUAACCUAAAAAACCCACU